rnacentral:rRNA from 1 species
GAUAAACGCUGGCGGUGUACAUAAGACAUGCAAGUCGAACGGGAGAAGACAUGAAGAUUUAUCUACUUGUUGGACACCGUGGCGGACGGGUGAGUAACACGUAAGCAACCUGCCUAUAAGAGGGGAAUAACAGUGAGAAAUUAUUGAUAAUACCGCAUAAGCUGGAGGUAUCGCAUGAUACAUUCAGAAAAGAUUUAUCGCUUAUAGAUGGGCUUGCGUCUGAUUAGCUAGUUGGUGAGAUAACAGCUCACCAAGGCGACGAUCAGUAGCCGGAUUGAGAGGUUGAACGGCCACAUUGGGACUGAGACACGGCCCAGACUCCUACGGGAGGCAGCAGUCGGGAAUAUUGCACAAUGGAGGAAACUCUGAUGCAGUGACA